rnacentral:rRNA from 1 species
CAAAAACAUCGCCUCCCGCAAAAAUCAAUAUAUAGGAGGUCUUGCCUGCCCAGUGACUAUAAGUUAAACGGCCGCGGUAUUUUGACCGUGCAAAGGUAGCGCAAUCACUUGUCUUUUAAAUGAAGACCUGUAUGAAUGGUGAAACGAGGGCUUAACUGUCUCCCCACUCUAGUCAAUGAAAUUGAUCUACCCGUGCAGAAGCGGGUAUACUAAUACAAGACGAGAAGACCCUUUGGAGCUUAAGACAAAAAACCAACUACGUCAAAAGUCCCAAAAACUAAACCAAGUAGCACUGGUCUCAAUCUUCGGUUGGGGCGACCGCGGGAGAAAGCAAAGCUCCCAUGCGGACUGGGUUAAACCCCUAAAACUAAGAGAGACAUCUCCAAGGCACAGAACAUCUGACCAAAAAGAUCCGGCUUCAUGCCGACCAACGGACCAAGUUACCCUAGGGAUAACAGCGCAAUCCCCUUCCAGAGUCCCUAUCGACAAGGGGGUUUACGACCUCGAUGUUGGAUCAGGACAUCCUAAUGGUGCAGCCGCUAUUAAGGGUUC